GACGAACGCUGGCGGCGCGCUUAACACAUGCAAGUCGAGCGAGAACCGGGGCUUCGGCCCCGGGGACAGCGGCGAACGGGUGAGUAACACGUGGGUAACCUGCCCUCGGCACCGGGAUAGCCCGGGGAAACCCGGAUUAAUACCGGACAGCCUCCGGAGCCUUCGGGCGCCGGAGAAAAGGUGGCUUCGGCUUCCGGCCGAGGAGGGGCCGGCGGCGGAUUAGCUUGUUGGCGGGGUAACGGCCCGCCAAGGCGACGAUCCGUAGCUGGUCUGAGAGGACGAUCAGCCACACUGGGACUGAGACACGGCCCAGACUCCUACGGGAGGCAGCAGUGGGGAAUCUUGCACAAUGGGCGCAAGCCUGUUGCAGCGACGCCGUGUGCGGGAAGAAGGCCUUCGGGUUGUAAACCGCUUUCAGGAGGGACGAAGCUCCUCGGGUUAAUAGCCCAGAGGGUGACGGUACCUCCAGAAGAAGCCCCGGCUAACUACGUGCCAGCAGCCGCCGUAAUAC
rnacentral:rRNA from 1 species